UCAGAUUUUAUUUAUUAAAUUUAUUAUUUUUUAUUUUAAUUUAUUAAAAGUAAUUAUAAGGUAAAUUGUUUUAGUAUUUUAUUAAAAAAAAUAAUUAUAAUGAUAGUGUAAUAGUAUUGUGAAAGAAAAUUGAAAUAAUUUGAAAAAUUUUUGUUUAAAAAGAAAAUUUAAUUAAUUGUACCUUGUGUAUCAGGGUUUAUUAAAUAAAAGUUAAAUAAAUAAUUUUCUCGAUUUUAAAAGAGUUAAUAUAUUAUUAAAGUUAAUGUUGUAAAAUUAUUUUAAAUAAUAUAUUAGAAAUGAAAUGUUAUUCGGUUUUAAAGGUAUCUAGUUCUUUAAGAAAUAAAUUUAAUUUAGAAGUUUUUUAUUAUUUAAUUGAGUUAAUUAAUUAAAUAAUUAAUUAAUUUUAAUAUUUUAUGGGAUAAGCUAUGAAAUAAAUUUUUAAAAAUAUAUAAAUAUAUUAAUAAAUAUAAGCUUAGAAUUAGCUAUUAUUAAUGAAAGUGUUAUAAUUUAUUUUAGAAUUAUAAUUAUUUAUUAAGUUUUAAUUAUUUAUUAAAGUAUUUAUUUUAAUAGUAAAAAUAAAAUAAUUAUGAUAAAAUUAGUAUAUUAAAUUGUAAAAAUAAGUUUAUGUGAAAAGUUUUAUUAAAGAAUUCGGCAAAAAUAAUAUUCGCCUGUUUAACAAAAACAUGUCUUUUUUUAAUAUUUAUAAAAAGUCUAACCUGCCCACUGAUUUUUUAAAUGGCCGCAGUAUACUAACUGUGCAAAGGUAGCAUAAUAAUUAGUCUUUUAAUUGAAGGCUGGUAUGAAUGGUUGGACGAGAUAUUAACUGUUUCAAUAAAAUUUAUAAUAAAAUUUUAUUUUUUAGUUAAAAAGCUAAAAUAAAUUUAAAAGACGAGAAGACCCUAUAAAUCUUUAUAUUUAGGUUAUUAUAAUUUUAUAGAAGAUUUAUAUUAUAAUAAUUAAUAAUAUUUUAUUGGGGUGAUAUUAAAAUUUAAUAAACUUUUAAUUUUUUUUACCAUUAAUUUAUGAAUAUUUGAUCCGUUAUUAACGAUUAAAAAAAUAAGUUACUUUAGGGAUAACAGCGUAAUUUUUUUGGAGAGUUCAUAUCGAUAAAAAAGAUUGCGACCUCGAUGUUGGAUUAAGAUAUAAUUUUAGGUGUAGCUGCUUAAAUUUUAAGUCUGUUCGACUUUUAAAUUCUUACAUGAUCUGAGUUCAGACCGGCGUAAGCCAGGUUGGUUUCUAUCUUUAAAUAAAAAAAAUAUUUCAGUACGAAAGGACCUAAUAUUUAAUAAAUUAUUAUUUUGACGUUGAAUAUAAUUAACUUUAUUAUU
rnacentral:rRNA from 1 species